rnacentral:rRNA from 1 species
GCGAGGCCGAAAGGCGUAGUCGAUGGGAAACAGGUUAAUAUUCCUGUACUUGGUGUUACUGCGAAGGGGGGACGGAGAAGGCUAUGUUAGCCGGGCGACGGUUGUCCCGGUUUAAGCAUGUAGGCUGGUUGUCCAGGCAAAUCCGGAUAAUCAAGGCUGAGGUGUGAUGACGAGGCACUACGGUGCUGAAGUAACAAAUGCCCUGCUUCCAGGAAAAGCCUCUAAGCAUCAGGUAACAUUAAAUCGUACCCCAAACCGACACAGGUGGUCAGGUAGAGAAUACCAAGGCGCUUGAGAGAACUCGGGUGAAGGAACUAGGCAAAAUGGUGCCGUAACUUCGGGAGAAGGCACGCUGGUGUGUAGGUGA